ACAUGACCCACGAACCAUGAAAAAUGGCCUAGCCUGGGAAAUUGAUAAUUUCUGUAUAUAAUAAUCUUCGGGAUAUAGGCUUUCUAGAAAUGUUUUUCUUUUUUUCAUAUAUUCUAUACUUUUUUGUUAAUAUGACGUUGAAUAUUGUGGUAUUUAAUGUUAAAAAAUUAACAUUUCGGGAUACACGUCACAACAAUAAACCUCCAAUGACCAUGUACAAUGUACAUGAACCUAUAAAUCUCUGAAUUUAUCAAGUUAUAUGCACUCAAAUAGCUAGAAUGGCUUAUUCAAUGAUCAUAAUAAGCAUUUUUGACCAAAUUUGGGAAAUAGAAAUAAGAAAUAUUUUGGAAAUGAUGUUCAAAGCCGUGAUUGUUCAACUUUACUUUUAAAUUAUUUUUACUUGAAUUUUAAAAUACUGAAAUAAGAAGAAUAAAUAUAGUAUGUAGUUUAUUUACAUGGUGAAAGAAGUGAAUCAUUGGAACAAUUCUGUUUCAUAUCAUAUUCCAUAGUUUUGGGUUUUUUUGUUUUCUUUCUUAUUUUUUUUUUUUUUAGUAUUAAAACGACCGAGUAUCGAAAGCAAUGGUAACGAAAUAAGUUGACACCGCGUCUCGUCAAAACAUGUUCAAUUCGAAUUUACUCGGAAUUACACGUUCAACGAGCAUUUGCUGUGAAACCUGAUUAAAGGAAAAUUACUGUAGACACCUAAUAGUGAUUUGUACAGAAGCGAGCCCCGGCAGGAAUGAUGGCCUCUUUUGAAAUGAAGAUUUCAUGCCUUACUCCUACUGGGACUACAACUAACUUUGGACCUGGUCACUCGCAGAUACAGCAUGAAGUGUGCCCUCUUGAUGUACAUGGGGAUGGGAGUGAUACAGAAGGGGGACUAAUUGGAAGAACUGCUGCUGCUGGUGGUGGUGCUGGACUGUCUUGAAUCUGUUGCCUAACCGACUUGAUAUUCUUCUGUUUAAUAUGGGAGCAACACACACACUCUGGCAUAUAUUGCACAGAAAAUCAUGAUCAGAUGGUGCCCUCCCUAUCAGAGUGGUGAUCACUGACCUAUAUUUCUUUGAAAUCCUGGAUCUGUGUUUUGGUUUUACUCUCCAUGGACAGUUGAAACAGAGAAAGAAUUAGGGACCACUCCUUGGCAUAUCUGAAAUAUUUAUGUCAUAUACAUGUAAUUAAAAUAUACAAUUUGGGUUGGAUGAAAAUCUUAUCUUCAUGUUAAAACCCAUUAGCCUAGGUUAUUUUUCCUAAAAUCUAAUUAUAAAUCAAUUAACUUGUUAAUUAAUGCUUGGUGAAUCAAUUAAUAAAUUGUAUUCAAGAACUUGGAAUUAUUUUUUUUCCCACUAAUAAACUGAAAAUGUGUAUCUUCAAA